rnacentral:rRNA from 1 species
UAACCCCGGUUGAUCCUGCCGGACCCGACUGCUAUGGGGGUGGGACUAAGCCAUGCGAGUCAGCACCCCAGGCAAUGUUGGGGUGCGGCGUACGGCUCAGUAAAACGUGGCUAACCUACCCUAGGGAUGGGGAUAACCCCGGGAAACUGGGGAUAAACCCCAAUAGGAGAAGAGUGCUGGAAUGCCUCUUCUCCGAAAGGAUGCCAAGAACAUGCCUCUUGGCAUCGCCCUAGGAUGGGGCCACGUCCCAUCAGGUAGUUGGUGGGGUAACGGCCCACCAAGCCUAUAACGGGUACGGGCC